AACGAACAUAUUUUGCAUGUGCUCGUCGUCAUCUUCGUCGCCGGCCGGUGAGACCAUUCAUCCGUGGCAGAUUGGCCAGAAUUAUUGGCCGCCGGUCAGGUGUGGCGUUACGGCGUGCGGCCAUGGUUAUCCGGAUGAUGCUGGCCGGGUGAACGGAUGACGGACGGACGGCUAAAGGUUGUUUAGAGCAGGGCCCCAACUCCUUCAAAAAUAGCUUUGGCUCCGGUUGUUUUGGUGGAGCGACUUCUCUGAUGGAGCUGAAGUCGUUUUGGAUAAUAUUUGGCAAAAUAGCUUCACCAUGUGUUUCAUGAGUGGAUUGAGGGUCAAAUGUCCAAUAUACCCUUAACAAUUAUUUUUUAUUUUUUCUCUCAUUUCACUAUUUCCUUCCAUUCUUCUCUAUUUGUUUCCUCUCCCGUGCAGCUCCUUCCACCGGCGGGGCCUCCUCCCCAAUCACCGGCGCCAACUCCGCCUACCUCCACCCACGCCUCCUUCCGCAGCUGGCGGCAUCCGCUAGCGCCACCACCUCUUGGUCUCCAUCCGCCCCUCCUCACAACACUGGCGGUCUCUGCCCGCCCUUCUCUCACCGGCUAGUGUCGCCGCCUCCCGGUCUCCACCCGCCCCUCCUCUUCCCACCGGCCAGCGCCGCCACCUCCCUUGCUCCGCUCGCGUGGGAAGCCGCUGGCCUUCGCCCAUGCCUCCUCCCGGCGGCCUAGCCUCGGCCCGUGCUCUCACGGCCCCUCACGAGGACAAGGAGGUCCAACAGGUGGAAGGAGCUCCAUAGAGCCGCUUGGAGCCAUGUUUUCGUGACUCCGCCCCCUGUGUAAGCCGCAACUGGCUCUAGGUGCAGGUGCGGCCGGAGUUGGUGGAAAAUCCACCAUUUGGCAGGGCUCCGGGUGAAGCCGCUGCCAUAGCUGUUCUUGGAGCCCUGCCAAAGGGGCUCUAAGUUGGCUACGCCUGCAUGCAACGUGACUGUCUGGUGGCUCCUAUGAAAAAAAGCUGUGCCUUCAUUUACUCCAUUGAGAACCUAGCAACGAGUCUUCGAUAUAUGGGAUGAGAUGUUGAAAGAAAGGAAGAGGCCGGAAGUGUAUAUGAUGAUUCGUUCAACUGAAGAGGAACUUAUCUAACUGACAUAUAUAUGGGUCCAACCAUCACGAGUCCACGUGUCAGUGGGACUAUUUCCCUUGACAUCUCAUGAAAGAAACGACUUCUCAGUGCAGGGUGCUUAUGGUCAGAGCCCACGAGAAGUUUGUUGAUGCUCAUUUAAUUCUUGGGGUACUCUACUAGUUUGUCACACAAAGUGCCGGCUAUAUAUACAUGCACUGCACUGUCAUUUUACCAUCUUAUAAGAAAAGGGCAACUUACGAGCUAGCUAGCUAUUGCGAUCUUAUUUGGUCCCAUUACUUUCAUCUCAGCAACUCCAGUUUCUCUAACACUCUCAUCAGUGUUCUAGUAGUAUUCACUAAAGCAAACAGGGCAGUUGGAGUCGACCUUUAGGAUUAUUGAUUGAACCCUAGUUCAUAACCAUUUUAAGCAACAUUCACGCUUUCCGACAUAUAUAGAAUCCCUUUUGUUCAUAACCAUUUUAAGCAAUAUUCAACAUAUAUAUAAUCCACUGGAAGGGUUAGGUACAUAGGAUAUGUAUUGAUAGUUAUUUUUAUAUUUUGUUUAAAUUAUAGGAAGUACUCCAUAUUCAGAAAAAAAAAUAGCACUAGAAAGUGGCUAAUGGAAGAUGGGGUCCAUGUAAAGGCAGUUGGUAAGAUGAUGCUUGAAAACUCCAUAAUUAUUCUAUUAUGCUUAAAAAUUAUUUUCUAGUGAAAACUAGGGAUUACACAUGUGCUUGUGUUGACUGUUUCAAAGAGUUGGUCCACACAUUUAUGACAGACAAACUUGAACAUACUUAUAUUAAUUUUCAGUGAAAGUUGAAAUAGAUAUAUUAUUAUAUCCAAGUAUAUUUAAGACGGUUUGAUCCAACAGAUCAAUUAUACCUUUCUUGUAUGAAAUUUGUUAAUGAUGAUGUGUGAUAAAAGAGUAUGUUUAAUAAAUUAUAACUAGCGAUACGGUUUGUGUGAAUUCAAGAAUAUAGUGGACCUCUCUUAGAGCACAAAUGAGAUAUACUUUUAUAAUAAGAAUUAAUUUGUUUUUUCUA